UGUCCCUGGGUAGAGUUGCACGUGUUCGGUGGUGCUUGUCUCAUUAGCCAGGGACAAAAUAACUCCUUUAUUUACACCAGCUUGGCUUUUGGUCUGUGCUUUAAGAGGGGUAGUACUUUAGCCAGCUCA
rnacentral:snoRNA from 1 species